rnacentral:rRNA from 1 species
CAUAAACAAUCCUUCGGGUGCGUUUAUGGGCGGCGAGCGGCGGACGGGUGAGUAAUGCCUGGGAAUAUGCCCUGAUGUGGGGGAUAACCAUUGGAAACGAUGGCUAAUACCGCAUAAUCUCUUCGGAGCAAAGAGGGGGACCUUCGGGCCUCUCGCGUCAGGAUUAGCCCAGGUGAGAUUAGCUAGUUGGUGAGGUAAGAGCUCACCAAGGCGACGAUCUCUAGCUGGUCUGAGAGGAUGAUCAGCCACACUGGAACUGAGACACGGUCCAGACUCCUACGGGAGGCAGCAGUGGGGAAUAUUGCACAAUGGGGGAAACCCUGAUGCAGCCAUGCCGCGUGUGUGAAGAAGGCCUUCGGGUUGUAAAGCACUUUCAGUUGUGAGGAAGGCAUAUACGUUAAUAGCGUAUGUGUUUGACGUUAGCAACAGAAGAAGCACCGGCUAACUCCGUGCCAGCAGCCGCGGUAAUACGGAGGGUGCGAGCGUUAAUCGGAAUUACUGGGCGUAAGGCGCAUGCAGGCGGCUUGUUAAGCCAGAUGUGAAAGCCCGGGGCUCAACCUCGGAAUAGCAUUUGGAACUGGCAGGCUAGAGUCUUGUAGAGGGGGGUAGAAUUUCAGGUGUAGCGGUGAAAUGCGUAG